rnacentral:lncRNA from 1 species
UAAAAUAUAACCGGGUUUACCAUGCCCCUCUCUAAUAGGCUGGUCCAUGAAAACCCGCCACUGCAGUGACUAAUCAAUAUCCCACCAAAUCAAUAAAAGUUUCGACAGCAUGACAUGGCAAUUAUAUUACUACCCAACCUAUUAAGGCAAAACAAACAGUUCAUACAAUUUCAACACAAUUUCCAAUUCAGCCAUUCAUGCCAAUUUCACCAUAAGCCAUUCAAUUCAAACCAUAAAUUUACAACACAAUCAAAUAGUCUCUAAUUACUCAAUUUCUAAAAUCAUCAUUCAAUUUCAAAAUGAUUUAUAAAAGUCAUUUCAUUUAAUCACAUUUUACUUAUAAAACAUAAGGAUUUACCAUUUAAACUCAUUUUUCUAUAAAAUCACAAAAACAAAUAAAAACUACUUUAGAUAAUUAAGAUGAUAAUAAGGUUACUCACAAUAUCGGGAGUUGAAGUACUCCUAGUCCCAGUCUUCGGGUACAAUCUCCUUACCCUUAUCAGAAGUUUCACCACCUAAACAUAAUGCACAACAAGCAAUUUACUAUAUUUGUACUAAACCGUUAUAAAACUAAUUUAGGCUUUAUAUGAAUGCAUGAAAUGGGAUGCGAAAUGUUUGGAUUAUUAUCUAAAUAUGGUGUUCUACGUAGCUUCAAUUAUGUAUCGAAAUAAAAUGGUAUUGGCCUAAUUCGAUCUAUAAACCAGUUAAUUGGCCAAUACAUCCAAUUCAACUCCAAAUAACUUGAUUCCACUUCCAACACUCCAAGUCAUCAAUUACAAGUUAAAUAAUAUGUAAUAUCACAAAAAUCCAUCAUCAAUAUCUUCCUUGUAAAAUUCGGCCAUUGAAAGUUUAGUGCAAAACAUGUAAUUUUCAUGCUUGAUUUUUACACCUUACAUCAUAAAACAACUAAAAUCACCUAAAUAGCAUGAAAUUCAUCAAAGUCCAUUAUCCAAUUUCUCUCUUGAAAAUUUCAACCAAGGAGUGUGGGUGAAGGGCAUGAAAUUUCUUGCUUGCUUUUCAUGCUAAACAUUACCAAACAACUAAAAACAUUAAGAUACCUUGAAAUCUAACCAAAUAAAUCAUCAAAUCUUCUCUCCCUAAAUUUGGUCAGCCAUGAAUCCUUCAUGAGAUCUUGAAUUUUAACCAUGGUAAUUGAAAAAGAAUGCAUAGGAAAGGUAGAUCACAAGCUAGAAUUAGGAAAUUUUACCUUUACUUGCUUAAUUCCUUGAAAUCCAAUGAAUUUUCUCUUGAUUUUCUUCUCUAUGGUUUGUUAUAUGCUUUUUCCCUUUUGUUCUUGCCUUGGCCGGC